AGAUGGAUCAUUCACAAUACUUAUUUUAGUUGUUGGUAAAAAAAAAUCUUUUCUUUGCAAAGGGUUAAAAUUUUUUUUUCACUUGAUACACGAAUAUAAUGAAGUUGGUUUAAAGGAAAUAGCUCAAACUGGAAAUCGAUAGUUUACUAUCGAAUUGUAGUCUCAUGAAAUGCAGCCUGUGAAUGUUCUGAAUUAAGUCUCUUGGAAAGAGUACCGAGGAGGGUGAAAGUCCCGUCUUUAUUCAGCAAUAUUUACUGUCGGUGCGUUUUCAAAGAGUCGUGCUCCUUGAGAUUGGAGCGCUAAGUGGGUGAUAAAUUUCAUCUAAAGCUAAAUAUUAACGAGAUUCCGAUAGCAUACAAGUACCGUGAGGGAACGAUGAAAAGAACUUUGAAAAGAGAGUUAAAAGGUACUGAAAUUGCUGAAAAGGAAGUGGAGAGUUUCAAUGGUUUAGUGAAAUUUCUCAUGUGCUCUGGGUACUCUUACUCAUGCGCAUGUGAAGGAAUUUUGCAAUGACUCUGGAAGUGAUUAUUCCAAGUGUUAAGGCAUUAAAUGAUAUGGUUCUAUUUUAGGACCAUGUCACUUAGUGUUUUAAUACGCCGAAUGAUUUAUGUAAUUCUAGUUUAAUUGUUUAUGAUUAGACUAUACUUUUCCAGAUAUAUUGAUUCUCUCCUUCCCGUCUUGAAACACGGACCAAGGAGUCUAUUUCGCGUGCAAGUACAAGGGUUGAAAACCUACGUGCGAAAUUAAAGUAAUAGUCAAGAUGGUUUUGCCUGCAUUGACACUCGGUUAUCAAACCGAAGUUGAGCACACGGAAUAGGACCCGAAAGAUGGUGAACUAUGCCUGAGUAGGGUGAAGCUAGAGGAAACUCUGGUGGAAGCUCGUAGCGAUACUGACGUGCAAAUCGUUCGUCAAACUUUGGUAUAGGGGCGAAAGACCAAUCGAACCAUCUAGUAGCUGGUUCCCUC
rnacentral:misc_RNA from 1 species